UUGGCUCAGCUUCUGUCACGUGCCCUUGUCUUAACUGCAGGGGAGGCUGGGAAAAUGUUCAAGCUUCUUCAGCUUCCAUAGGCAGGUUCUGCUUCCCUCAAACUUAGGAAAGGGCUUCAGAUGUGGAGCAGCCUAAAAGAAUGACACAUGCCCACUCUAAUUAGCUGGCCAAAUUAGUUCUACAGAAGAGAAGUACCUUGGGAUUUCGGAGCAGAAAGUGAUGAUUCUGAGGAGGCUUUAGAGGAGGGGAGAUUUGAUCAAGUCUUGAAGGAUGAGAAAGUUGGUAGGGUUGUAGGUAGGGAUAGGAGAAGGAUUUCGAGAGACACAUAUGGAAUGACAAUAUUAAGAAUGCUGAACUGGGGAAAACAAAUGCAAGCGCUGUGCUAGCAGGAAGGUCUGUGAAGUUUGCAAUAAAGCCAUUAUGAAGUCAAGAAUGGAGGUUCCAUUUUUAAAGAACUCAGAGGGGGUAGAUCUUGAUUGACAUCUCAUCUGGGGUCACCUGGUCUUCAACUGAGAGAUCUUUUGGUUCGCCACGGAUGCCCCUUGCAGUUAUGGAAGCUUCCCUGACCAGAGGUCGUUUUGAGUUUCCUUCUCUGGAAUUUGACCACUGAGCAGAGACACAUAGGAGAGAAGACGUGAAUGCUGAGUCAUCAAUCAGCAUCACUGGGAAGAAAAAGCCUCUCAGUUUCUUCUGCUGGGACUCCCAGAGCUGGAGUAUUUUCUGCUCUUCCUAAGGCCUGGUAAUUCAGCUCUUUGUGAGACUGUGAGCUUUACCAUACCCUUCCAGUAGCAACCUUCUUCUUUUUUAAGUUCAUUGCGGGGAAUAGGGAGUGAUGGCUGAUGGACAUAGGGUUUCUUUUUGGGGUGACAAAAAUCUUCUAAAAUUAAGUGGUGGUGAUGGUUGCACAAUUUUGAAUAUACUAAAAACCGUGAAUUCUAAAGUUUAAACAGGUGAAUUCUGUGCUAUAUAAAUUGUAUCUCAAUGAAAUUACUAAUAUUCUAAAGCCUCCCAAGUGACUUAGAUGUUCGGUGAGUGUUGAAAGCCAGUUAUUUAUCACAUCCUUAAGUCCUGCUACCUUUCUCUCACUCUCUAAGUUCAGUUUCCUCUUUGGUUUGACUUGGACCAAUCUGCAACAACUCUUGAUGUUUCUUGUAAAUUCUAUGACUAACUCCCAGAGCUUCUCCUGUCUAUCUGAUACGCAUUUAGCUUCUCCUUUCAGGCCUCAAACAGCAUGUUUAGAACAGAACUGAUCUUCUUCUCCCCAACCUGCUUUACCUUUUCUAUUUCUCACUCAGUUACUGGCACAAACUUCUCCAUAUAUGUUUAAGAAGACCUCUACUUUGACUUUCCCUGCUCCUUCUAACUUACAUCCAAUUAAUCAAAACGUUGUAUCAGUUUUAUUUCUGAAACAAUCUCUCCCAUCUUCCUUAUCUCUUCAUUCCACUGCCAGGUCUGAGUCCACCCUUUACUAUUUUCUGUUGGAUUAAGGCAAACCUCCUGUAAAGAGCUGCCCUGUCUCCUGCAGUCUCAUCCUCCAGUACCCCUUCAUGCCUACACUGAAGUCCUCUUCCUAAAACAGGAAUAGGGUUAACUCACUCACCUCCCCUAAACCUGUUAGUGGCUCUGCACUGAGUACUGGAUCAAGUCUAAUGUAAUGAGAAGGCCCAUUCAAUCUGGGCCAAACUUUCCUUCUUAGCCUAGUGUCCUCCUAUGCCCCCUGCACAGACCUUAGCUCCAAUCACACUAACCCAUGCCAUUACCUGGACACACUGUGCUAGUCUACACUCACGUGCCCCCAGCUCACAUCUCCCCUUUUCCUGGAAUGCCAUGUCCAUAUGGCCUGGAGAAUGACCUAAAGUUAGUGCCAGCAGAGAGCUUAUCAGUAGUGGGGCAGAUCACAGGGGAGAGCAGGUUUUGGAGCUAGGGUGAGGUGUCAAUGAGAAGAAGGGUGAUUUAUUAAGAAGUAAGCUCAUUUCAAGCCAUACACCUGAAACCUGACGCCCAAAGAGGAGGCAGAGACCCAAUCAACUACUGAUACAGUUUGUGAGGCUGGAGACUUGAGAGAACAAUAGGUUGAGGCAAGUGUAACCAAUGGAUUAAUUCCUUACCAAUCUAGGAUUCCUGGAGCGUGGAGUGCUCCAGGCCUGGUGGCACCAAGACUUUAAAAAGAAAAACCAUUACACAGUGAGAUUUGGUCUCUACACAAAAUUUAAAAAUUAGUGUGGUGUGGUCGCACACAACUGUAGUAACAGCUACUCAGGAGGCUGAGGUGGGAGGAUCGCUUGAGCCCAGGAGUUU
rnacentral:lncRNA from 1 species